rnacentral:pre_miRNA from 11 species
CUAAUAUUUUUCGGAUAAACUACGCGGAUUUUUAUUAUUUAAAAAACUAAAUAAUCCCGACGUUUCGGUUACUUUUCAGCAACCGUGAUCACGGGCGGACGAGGUGGGAGUAAAAAUCCGCGUAGUUUAUCCGAAAAAUAUUAGU